rnacentral:rRNA from 1 species
AUGGUCUUAGCUUGCUAAGGCCGAUGGCGACCGGCGCACGGGUGAGUAACACGUAUCCAACCUGCCGUCUACUCUUGGACAGCCUUCUGAAAGGAAGAUUAAUACAAGAUGGCAUCAUGAGUUCACAUGUUCACAUGAUUAAAGGUAUUCCGGUAGACGAUGGGGAUGCGUUCCAUUAGAUAGUAGGCGGGGUAACAGCCCACCAAGGCGACGAUCAGUAGGGGUUCUGAGAGGAAGGUCCCCCACAUUGGAACUGAGACACGGUCCAAACUCC